rnacentral:lncRNA from 1 species
CCAAUAGUUGUAAUAGGACCAAAAUUGUUUUAAUAGAGAUUAAAAUGUAUGUUUAUAUGUGAUGAGACCAAAAACCCUCAACCAAACCAAUAUUAAGUUGAUAAGCGGAGAGUGCUUAGAACACUCUUUCGUGGCCUUCCACCAUGGUGGGAUCCAAUCGUUUAUGACUUGUACACCGGCUUCACCCUAUCAUGGGGGAGUACAAAGUGCAUGCUUAUACUCAGGAGGAAUCCAUACACAUAUGAUGAGGUGAGUGUAGGCAACGAGGAUGGCCAAUAUCAUAUCAUUGUGAGGCUAUUCUUGAACCCCUUCAUGAACUAAGCAUGGUGGGAAGAACUUAACUAAGUGCAAUGGAACCAAUAUCAUAUCAUUGUGAGGUUACAUUCUCUA